AAUUAAAAAAAAAGAGAAAGAAUUGUUUUAAUCAGGGCAGAGCAUUCGGUCAUCGGAAAAACUGAAGGACCCAUUUCAUGCAAAAUGCCAACCAAAACCACCCAACAACAAACACAAGAUUUCCACAAACUUUAACAGAAUCCUCACAAAGCAUUAGCACAAUCUAAAAUUAAAAUCUUCAAAUCUUCAAUUGAAUCAACAAUAAAUAAACUAAUAUUUUAACAAGAAAUCAAAAAACAACAAAAUCAACAAAUUACAAAACCACCAUAAGAGACCCAUGAAAAAUGAACGGUGAAGAAGAGAACCAUGAGAGAAAAUAAUACCACACGGAAGAAAUAAAAAAAAGCUUCAAGGGAAAGAAAAAACUGAGGCUAAGGUUGAAUCGGCACUGAGAAGUGAGAACACUGCAGGAGACGGCGUCGGCCACGAAGAUAACAGGCGCAGCAAAUAGUCGCAUGGAGAGCUUUGUCUCGCAACAUGAAGCCAAACGGGUUGAUGAAGAGUGAAAGACCAGAAACUAAAGGAUAUGCAGCUUUGACUCCGUGUAGAGAGACCAGUGAGAGCAUGGGUUCG
rnacentral:misc_RNA from 1 species